rfam:Oryza sativa (indica cultivar-group) chromosome 5, whole genome shotgun sequence.
AAAGACCAAAUUCUUCGGUUUUCGUGUCCAACGUUUGACCGUCCGUCUUAUAUGAAAUUUUUUUAUGAUUAGUAUUUUUAUUAUUGUUAGAUGAUAAAACAUGAAUAAUACUUUAUACAUGUCUUAUCUUUUUAAAUUUUUUCAUAAUUUUUUAAAUAAAACGAACGGUCGAACGUUAGACACGGAAACCUAUGAAUUGAGUUUUU